UCCCCUGUAGUCUAGUGGCUAGGUUAUCUGGCUUUCACUCAGAAGGCCCUGGUUCGAUUCCCAGCAUGGGAA